rnacentral:lncRNA from 1 species
UCUUCCUCCUCUCCCUCCUUCUCCUCCUCUUUCCUUCUUUCUUCUUCAUGCAUAUUUUUUUGCUGGGCAUGGUCAUACUUGCCUUUAAUCACAGUGCCUGCAGAGUCAGGCAGAUCUCUGUGAGUGUGAGACCAGCUUGGUCUACACAGUGAGUUCAAGGACAUCUCUGCCUGCGUGGCAAAACCCUAUCUAGACAGACAAACAAACAAGCCAACCCUUUUAUUUAUUUUUGGACAGUUUUAUACAGUGUUUUUAUUAUAUCCACUCCAACUCCCUGUCCUACUUCUUUCUAACACCUCCUAAAGCAGUUCGUUUCCUGCUUCCCUUCUUUUCCUUAUAUUUAUUUCUGUAUCAUACUGAACCCAGCAGUGCCGCUUGUUGCAUGUUGCCUGGUUGUGAAGGCCCUGAUCCCUGUGCAGGGUACUGUGGCUACAGCGAGCUCUUGAGUUCUGUCCAAGUCCUGCCAUAGCACUUCUCCUCAUCCCCUAGCUGCUGCACUUCCAGCCUCUCUUCCCUGGUUCCCUGAGCCUUGGGAGGGGGAAGUGAUCCAACUGUCUCAUUAGGGGGAGCAGUUAGCAGUCACUUACUCUCAGCACUUUGACCAGAUAUGAGUCCCUGCAUCAACUGCUGCCCAGUGCAGAAAGGAACUUCCCUGGCCACCAUCCUUAACCUGAAUGUAAAGAUCACGCAGACCUACUAUAGGCUUCCAUUCUUCUAUAAGAUAUUUACUAAGUACUACAUAGUAGUCUAAGACCAGUCCUGUAGUAUAAAAAGAAUUUUAAUUGUCAUUGAGGCAACUGUGCUUCCUAGUAUAGAUCAUCAGUUUGAUUCAGCUACUUGGCUAGUAAAAAUGGAGCUUCUUAAUCUUCAUGCAGCUCUUCCUGCUGGCAUGGAAAGAUUGUGGCUGCAUACUAGGUUAGGUUUGGUUUUUUUUUUUAAACUAUAUUAUCUUAAAAAGAAGCUUUAUUCAUUUCCUAAGACUCAAUGUAUUUCUAGAAUAGGGCAGAAAACUAUGUCUAGAAAACUGUCCAUUUGUAUUUAGUUUUUCAGAUACAUAGAGGAAGCAAGCCAGCAGGAUCAGCUGUAGCCCUUUGCUGUCUAUUUUCAGUGUUAGUUUUAGUUUGGGUUGUAGAUUCCUCACCAGUCUCCUUUUGGUUAUACAUAGGCUUUAGAGGCUGGGCCCUCCUAUAAGGAAUGAGAAGUGUUGGCUUCAAAUUGUUUGCCAAGGUCAGGAAUAGCAAACAAGAUUUGUUUAUGAGUGUGAAGCUGCUUCAUGUAUGGGCACACUUCAUGCCUUCCAGGCACAGCGUGUGCUUAGGUUGGAGCUAGCAAGCAAGGCUUGUUUACAAGUAGGAGAACUACAUCAUGUUGAGACUUCAUGCUUUCUAGGCAGCAUUGCUUAGAAUUCCCAGACCCCUCUCCCCGCC